rnacentral:ncRNA from 1 species
AAAAUGACGAUGACAGGAAAUAGUAUAAUCCUAGUGCUGUUUUAAGAGAGUUGCCGGCUGGUGAAAGGCAAUAAUGGUAUGGGUUUAGAACUCUUCCUUGAGUAGCCGACCGAAAUGUAAAAAGUAGGCUCGGACGGAACUUCCACCGUUAAAAGGAAGGGGAUAUCAGAUGACUCGAAGAUCCUUGAUCGAUGUUAGUAGUUAGAUCUAUUAAGUUCUUUUAGAUUCAACUAUGGACACGAACAAGGAAUAUCGAUAAGUCUCGUAUCUGCAGAGAAGACGGCUAUUUGCCGUCAACUUGAGUGGUACCGCGAACUAAUCCUUCGUCUCAAUU